UUUUAAAAAGCUUUAAGCAUUUCAUUUACACUGAAAAAAUCUGACUAUUUUAUCU
rnacentral:tRNA from 1 species